rnacentral:rRNA from 1 species
UAGGGAGUCUUCCACAAUGGACGCAAGUCUGAUGGAGCAACGCCGCGUGAGUGAAGAAGGGUUUCGGCUCGUAAAGCUCUGUUGUUAAAGAAGAACGUGGGUAAGAGUAACUGUUUACCCAGUGACGGUAUUUAACCAGAAAGCCACGGCUAACUACGUGCCAG